CCUACGGGGGGCAGCAGUGGGGAAUCUUGCACAAUGGGGGAAACCCUGAUGCAGCAACGCCGCGUGAAGGAAGACGGUUUUCGGAUUGUAAACUUCUGUUCUCAGGGACGAAGAAAGUGACGGUACCUGAGGAAUAAGCCACGGCUAACUACGUGCCAGCAGCCGCGGUAAUACGUAGGUGGAAAGCGUUAUCUGGAUUUAUUGGGUGUAAAGGGCGUGUAGGCGGGAGCGCAAGUCAGAUGUGAAAACUCAGGGCUCAACCCUGAGCCUGCAUUUGAAACUGUGUUUCUUGAGUGCUGGAGAGGCAAUCGGAAUUCCGUGUGUAGCGGUGAAAUGCGUAGAUAUACGGAGGAACACCAGUGGCGAAGGCGGAUUGCUGGACAGUAACUGACGCUGAGGCGCGAAAGCGUGGGGAGCAAACAGGAUUAGAUACCCCUGUAGUC
rnacentral:rRNA from 1 species